rnacentral:rRNA from 1 species
AGCGAACGCUGGCGGCAGGCCUAACACAUGCAAGUCGAACGAUCCUUCGGGAUAGUGGCGGACGGGUGAGUAACACGUGGGAACGUGCCCUUUGGUUCGGAACAACUCAGGGAAACUUGAGCUAAUACCGAAUGUGCCCUUCGGGGGAAAGAUUUAUCGCCAUUGGAGCGGCCCGCGUCUGAUUAGCUAGUUGGUGAGGUAAUGGCUCACCAAGGCGACGAUCAGUAGCUGGUCUGAGAGGAUGAUCAGCCACACUGGGACUGAGACACGGCCCAGACUCCUACGGGAGGCAGCAGUGGGGAAUCUUGCGCAAUGGGCGAAAGCCUGACGCAGCCAUGCCGCGUGAAUGAUGAAGGUCUUAGGAUUGUAAAAUUCUUUCACCGGGGACGAUAAUGACGGUACCCGGAGAAGAAGCCCCGGCUAACUUCGUGCCAGCAGCCGCCGCGGUAA